CAUCAGUUUAUAUUGUUAUUCUUUCAGUAAAGGCCCCUCAAGUUUGAAACUUGAGGCCAACUCUAAGGUGCAAUACAUUUAUUUUAAUUUCUAUUGCAAAGCUUUUUAUAUGAUGUAUGAACAGCUACUAAUGUUGGGAAUUUUUUUUUCUUGUGCUUGAAUGAAAGAGUGCUCAAGAUUGGCAUAUCAGGUUUCAUUUUGUAUCAGUGAACUCUAGAUUUCUGUUAUACCGUAAUAAUGGUUGUCGCUGAAUUACAAUGUAAUGGUCUUAAAAAACUGCCUUAUGAGCUUAGAAAAAAAUUAUAUAGUAUAUAUUAUGUGAAUUGCUGCUGUUGCUGAAUUGAUCUGUAUCAGAAGUUUGUAAUUCGGUCUUCUUCAUAUCAUUUCUCUAAUAUAGCAAGUAGAACUACAUGUACAUUAAUUCAGGUGAUUUUUUUUCCCUUUUCUCUCAAAUAUGUUCAUUUGAUACAAAAACUUGGGUGCCAUGCUAAAGCUUUAGCUCUUUUCACAUCUUGGUCAUGUGACUUCAUAUUUUGAUGGUCACGUGACAUCAUCUAGUUAAAAAAUUAAUGCAAUCAUUAAAAUGCACAGAUAAAAGUACUGUAAACUAUGGGGUCGUGUAAAGCAAAAGAUUUAUGUUGAAAAAAUCUAUAAUAUUGACUCCAGAAAUAAUAAAAACUUUAAAACUCG
rnacentral:misc_RNA from 1 species